ACAAAAUGAACCCGCGACCGCGUGAAAGCAGCUGUAAAACUUCACAUUUGUAUGCUACUGAUGAAUAUUGCAGAACACGGAAAGCGUGUCAGGAAACCUGUUCCCUUCAGUACUCCACGUACCAGAUGUUGUCAGUGUUUCAAUAGACGGUGACAGAGAAGGGCACGUGUGUAGCUCUCAGAGCAGGAAAGAAAAAUCACUGCCCUGUUUUUAGGAUUGAAUGGUGUCAUCAGCCAGUCACCUGUAAGUAUGUUGAAAUCUUUGCUCGUUGUCACUCAUACAGCGCUGUGCUUCAUUAAAACAACCAAGUUUCUAAGCCAAAUAGUUCAAAAGUAAGAAG